CAACUCUUUUCUCUUGCCAGAGAAGAAUAACUUCUCUUUUCAUGGAGACAAGGUAAUGAUUUCACAUAAAGAAGGUUCCUGUGAGACAGUAUUUCUUUUUCUCAAGAUCCACCCCACCACCCUCAUUGCCUCCUGAUAUUGAGUGUCCUCCUCAAUCAAAGUGAACAUUCAAGAAGGCAUGUACGCUACUGUAACAUUAAGCACAGCGCAGUGGCUCACGCCUAUAAUCGCAGCACUUUGGGAAGCCAAGGAGGGUAGAUUAUGAGGUCAGGAAUUUGAGACCAGCGUGGCCAACAUGAUGAAACCCCAUCUCUACCAAAGAUACAAGAAAUUAGCCAGGCGUGGCGGUGCGUACCUGUAAUCACAGCUACUCAGGAGGCUGAGGCAGGAGAAUUGCUUGAACCUGGGAGGCGGAGGUUGCAGUGAGCUGAGAUUGCACCAUUGCACUUCAGCCUGGGCAACAGGGUGAGACUCCAUCUCAAAAAAAAUUAUUUUUAAUUUCAGUGGGUACAUAGCAGGAAUACAUGUUCAUGGAGUCCAUGAGAUAUUUUGAUAUAGGCAAAUGAUGUUCAUCUUCUUGUUUUUUAAAUCUUAGACUUAAAGGGCUCAAUUGAUAGGUCAUGCUCAUUCAGAUAAUCUCCCUAUUUUAAGGUCAGCUAAUUUGGAACUUGAAUUAUAUCAGCAAAAUCCCUUUAUGGCAGCACUUAGUGUUGGAUUGAAUAAUUAGGAGAAGGUGUGUGUACACAAGGGGCCCAAAUCUUGGAGAUCUUUGUAGAAUUCUACUGCCAUUGUCCGAAUGAUUGUGUCCCCCUCCAAAAUUCACAUUAGAAUUUAAUCCCCAAUGAUAUCAUAUUAGGAGGUGAGGCAUUUAGGUGGUGCUUAGGGCAUGAGGGCUCUGCCCUCGUAGAUGGGGUUAGUGCUUUAUAUAAGGGCUGGAGAGAACUAGUUAUAAUUUUACCCUUUCAUCCCUUCCACCAUAUGAGAACAGAGAAUUAAUGGUGCUAUCUUGGAAGCAGAGUCCAGGCCCUCACCAGACGGCAAACCUGCCUACACCUUGAUCUUGGACUUCCUGGCUUCCAGAAUUGUGAGAAAUAAAUUUUUAUUAUUUAUGAAUUGCA
rnacentral:lncRNA from 13 species